rnacentral:rRNA from 1 species
GGACAACCUGCCCUCGGGAGGGGGAUAACCCCGGGAAACUGGGGCUAAACCCCCAUAGGGGAUGGAUACUGGAAUGUUCCAUCUCCGAAAGUCCGCAAGGAGCCCGAGGAUGGGUUUGCGGCGGAUUAGGUAGUUGGUGGGGUAACGGCCCACCAAGCCUAAGAUCCGUACGGGCCAUGGGAGUGGGAGCCCGGAGGUGGACCCUGAGACAAGGGUCCAGGCCCUACGGGGCGCAGCAGGCGCGAAACCUCCGCAAUGCGGGAAACCGCGACGGGGUCAGCCGGAGUGCCGAUGCUUGCAUCGGCUGUCGGGGAGCCUAAAAAGCUCCCCAAGCAAGGGCCGGGCAAGGCCGGUGGCAGCCGCCGCGGUAAUACCGGCGGCCCGAGUGGUGGCCACUAUUAUUGGGCUUAAAGCGUCCGUAGCCGGGUUGGUUAGUCUCCCGGGAAAUCUGGCCGCUCAACGGUCAGAAUGCCGGGAGAUACUGCCAGCCUAGGGACCGGGAGAGGCCGAGGGUAUUCCCGGAGUAGGGGUGAAAUCCUAUAAUCCCGGGAGGACCACCUGUGGCGAAGGCGCUCGGCUGGAACGGGUCCGACGGUGAGGGACGAAGGCCAGGGGAGCAAACCGGAUUAGAUACCCGGGUAGUCCUGGCUGUAAACGAUGCGGACUUUGUGUCGGACAAGCUAUGAGCUUGUCCGGUGCCGGAGGGAAACCGUUAAGUCCGCCGCCUGGGGAGUACGGCCGCAAGGCUGAAACUUAA